rnacentral:pre_miRNA from 1 species
AUGCUACUCCCUCCAUUCGGAAUUACUUGUCUCGGAAAUGGAUGUAUCUAGAAGUAAAAUAUGUCUAGAUACAUCCAUUUCUGCGACAAGUAAUUCCGAACGGAGGGAGUAUUUU